rnacentral:lncRNA from 1 species
ACUUGUCAGGAGGCAGGUCUGGCAUCUGCUUCAAGAGCGACAUAUGGCUGGUGUUAAACACUGUCAGUUCUGCAGAGGUGAACCUAUACGCAUCCAGGACAGGAAGAGCUGAAUACACCGACUGUUUGUAAAUCCGACAUUUUUCCACACUGGCUUUGCUUGCUGAAAUGUGGCAGAAGUGAGGAACACAAAUCGGUUCUGCAAAACUCACAGAUGAAGAAACUGAGGUUCUGAGUGGUGAUGUGAUCAGAACAAGAAUGAACCACUGGCAGUACCCACUCUUCUCCACCAAAUCUUGCACCCCAGGCUGUUCCAGGUCUUGCCACAAAGUGAAAUUUGAAAACUGCAUAUGCAUUUGGCAGGAAAAUCACUCCUGGCCGAAAAAAAAUCAUCUCCUGGCUUGUUGAAAAGAACUCAUAUCUCAUACAACGAGGGCAUGAAGAAUGUUCGCUGAACAUAGGCUCAGAAUAGGUACCAAAGGAUGCUCUUCAGAGGACAUACUAGAGCACAAGGUUACAUGGAUGCAAGAACAUCUUAAUAAGGGAACCCAUUCCCUUGCAGACAAUGUUUCAGGAAAAAAAGUUGAACUCAUCCUGGUGUUUUCUAUUACAGAUGAGGCUGAGUGUAAACCAGAAGUUUCUAAAUUGAUUCACAUUUAAGACAGGGUUAUGUAAUAAUUUCAACUUUUUUCUUAUAUGAAAAGACUAGAUUUAAAAAUACAUCAUUAAAAUAUAUCACAUUUCAGAAGAAACUC